rnacentral:rRNA from 1 species
UGAGGAAUAUUGGGCAAUGCCCGCAAGGGUGACCCAGCAACGCCGCGUGGAGGAUGAAUGUCGUAAGAUUGUAAACUCCUGUUAGAGGGGAAGAAUAGUACCGGUUGGACCGGUAUAUGACUGUACCCUCAGAGAAAGCCCCGGCUAACUACGUGCCAGCAGCCGCGGUAAUACGUAGGGGGCAAGCGUUGUCCGGAUUUACUGGGUGUAAAGGGCGCGCAGGCGGGAUAAAAAGUCAGUGGUGAAAUCUACAGCUUAACUGUAGAACUGCCUUUGAUACUUUUAUUCUUGAGUUCGGGAGAGAGAGACGGAAUUCCAGGUGUAGUGGUGAAAUACGUAGAUAUCUGGAAGAACACCAGUUGCGAAGGCGGUCUCUUGGUCCGACACUGACGCUGAGGCGCGAAAGCGUGGGGAGCAAACA